rnacentral:rRNA from 1 species
UACGUAGGUGGCGAGCGUUGUCCGGAUUUACUGGGCGUAAAGAGCGCGCAGGCGGUCGUACAAGUCGCGUGUGAAAGCCCCCGGCUCAACUGGGGAGGGUCACGCGAUACUGUUCGACUCGAAGGCAGGAGAGGGAAGUGGAAUUCCCGGUGUAGUGGUGAAAUGCGUAGAUAUCGGGAGGAACACCGGCGGCGAAGGCGGCGAUCUGGGUCGAGACUGACGCUGAGGCGCGAAAGCGUGGGGAGCAAACAGG